AGCAGUCGCCGCGGGAAUACGUAGGUGGCAAGCGUUGUCCGGAAUUAUUGGGCGUAAAGGGCUCGCAGGCGGUUUCUUAAGUCUGAUGUGAAAGCCCCCGGCUCAACCGGGGAGGGUCAUUGGAAACUGGGAAACUUGAGUGCAGAAGAGGAGAGUGGAAUUCCGCGUGUAGCGGUGAAAUGCGUAGAGAUGUGGAGGAACACCAGUGGCGAAGGCGACUCUCUGGUCUGUAACUGACGCUGAGGAGCGAAAGCGUGGGGAGCGAACAGGAUUAGAUACCCCAGUAGUCCCUGUCUCUUAUAC
rnacentral:rRNA from 1 species